rnacentral:rRNA from 1 species
AUGGCGCAGCGGGAUAGCUCCUGGGUACCUGGAAGAGAGAGAUGUGAGAGGGAGAGAGAAAAGAGAAAGGAGAAAAGGAGGAAGAACGGGAGGACAAGGGGAAAGAAAAAGGAUGAGGCGCAGGGCCUGCUGGUUCGGUGGUGGUUGUCGCCGUUGGCGUCUGGUACUCGGGCGAGGCGGCGCUGGUGGAUCGAGGUGCUCGGGGACGAGCUAGCAGAGGAGGGGAUCGAUGGAUUUGGAAGGAGUGCACUAGUUGGGUGGCGGCGGAAAUCAAGGGAGAGGGUCGGAGAGAAUUUGGAUCGGGAGGAGAUCCCGAGGUGGGAUGGUGAGUGGUGA